ACUACUAGUAGUACGUACAACUAGUACUAGUACUACUACUACUAGUACCAGUAGUACGUACAACUAGUACUAGUACUAC
rnacentral:tRNA from 1 species